rnacentral:tRNA from 1 species
GAGGGUAUAGGUCAGUGGUAGAGCACGUGCUCAGCAUGCACGAGGUCCUGCGUUCAAUCCCCAGUGCCUCCG